rnacentral:rRNA from 1 species
AUUGAACGCUGGCGGCAGGCUUAACACAUGCAAGUCGAGCGGGGUGAUGGUGCUUGCACUAUCACUUAGCGGCGGACGGGUGAGUAAUGCUUAGGAAUCUGCCUAUUAGUGGGGGACAACAUCUCGAAAGGGAUGAUAAUACCGCAUACGUCCUACGGGAGAAAGCAGGGGAUCACUUGUGACCUUGCGCUAAUAGAUGAGCCUAAGUCGGAUUAGCUAGUUGGUGGGGUAAAGGCCUACCAAGGCGACGAUCUGUAGCGGGUCUGAGAGGAUGAUCCGCCACACUGGGACUGAGACACGGCCCAGACUCCUACGGGAGGCAGCAGUGGGGAAUAUUGGACAAUGGGGGGAACCCUGAUCCAGCCAUGCCGCGUGUGUGAAGAAGGCCUUAUGGAUGUAAAGCACUUUAAGCGAGGAGGAGGCUCUUUUGGUUAAUACCCAAGAUGAGUGGACGUUACUCGCAGAAUAAGCACCGGCUAACUCUGUGCCAGCAGCCGCCGUAA